UUCCUCGCAGAAAAACUAAGUCCAUUUAUAAGUAAAAUACGGAAAAAAUGGAAUUUUAUUUUUACAAAAUUUACUUCUGGAUACUUUCUUAUGAUCAUAAACAAGCUUCUGUCCAAGUUUGGUGGAAAUUCAGUAUAGUUUAAGAAAGUUAUUAAAAUUUCAAAAACUUUAACCACAGAGUGAAUAUUUGUGGACGCCGCCGACGACGACGACGCCGACGACGACGGAAUGUAGGAUCGCUUAGUCUCGCUUUUUCGACUAAAGUCGAAGGCUCGACAAAAAUGAAAAUACAUU
rnacentral:lncRNA from 1 species